rnacentral:rRNA from 1 species
AUGUCAUGUGUGAAGUCAACAAGGAAUGAUCUACAACAACUAAGAGAUAAUGGGUGGGAAUCACUUUUGGAGAAGGUAUAUGCAUUCUGUGAAGAACAUGACAUUCCAAAGCUAAGCAUGCAAGAUGAAUAUGUCAAACGACAUAAUACACGAAAAAGAACCAAUAUAACAAACCUGCAUCAUUAUCAAAUAGAGUGUCUUAACACUGUUAUUGAUUGGCAACUUCGAGAGUUUGAUGACAGAUUCAAUGAAGUAAAUUCUGCAUUGCUUAUUCACAUGGCUUCUUUCAACCCAAAAAACUCUUUCGCUGCUUUUAACUUGGAGAGUUUGUUGAAGCUAGCUGAGUUUUAUCCUGAGGAUUUCGAUUCAUCAAAAUUGAUGGAUCUUGGACAUGAACUUCGGAUUUACAUUGACAAUGUCCGAGCAGACCAAAAAUUUGCCAAUUUGGAUGGCAUUGCGGAUCUUGCUAAAAAGUUGGUGGAUAUACUAAGAAGCAUCUUGCUUUCCCUUUGGUGUAUCAACUUCUAA